UAUUUUUUUUAAAUCCAUUGUAAAUAUUUUAAAACCUUUUUCAAAUUCCUUGUAAAUCGUUUAAACCCUUUUAAAAUCUCUUGUAAAUCUUUUAAAAUCCUUUGUAAAUAUUUUAAAACCAUUUUAAAAUUCCUUGUAAAUCUUUUAAAACCCUUUUAAAAUCCCUUGUAAAUCUAUUUCCCGCAAAAAAAUUUUACAAGGAUUUUUAAAAGAAUUUGUUUGGCUGAGAAAAAAUUUGUUACGAAUAAAAAAUUUGGCGGGAUAUGUUUUUUUGGCGGGAAAAAAGUUUGGCGGAAAUUUUUGUUUGGCGGGAAAAUUUCAGUUUCCAAUUACAUAUUCCUAUUAGAUGAGGGUAAUUUGGUCAUUGUGUUCAGGGAAAGGGAUAUUUUUAAAAAUGGAAAAGAUAAAAGGGUAUUGUUGCAAGGGAAAUUUGCAAGAAUAACUAACAAAAACUUAUAAAUUAAGAAAGUAACACAAGACAAAAAAACUGCUAUACUCUCUAUAUUAUAUAUAAUAAUAACAUAUUUAUCCUUUUCUCUCCACCUCAUUCUAAAUCUCUCCUUCUCUCCUCUCUCUCUCAUCUCUUUUUCUUUCUUCUCUCAAUCUCUUCUCUUUUUCUUUUUUUCUGUAUCACAUAACAAACAAAUGAAAAGGACGAAGUAGAUUUUUCAGAUACCACUUAUGUUAUCUGGUUGCUUGGGUUGCCAAGGUUGUAUCUUAGGGUAUAGUUUUUCUAUACAUCCAAAAUAGUAUAGUACAACAUUUUAUUUCUAUCCAAAAUAGUACAUGUUUUUACUUACAAACACUAUUUACUAUUUUAUAAAUUCAAAUCCGAUUUUAAAAAUUCAAACUAUUUUGUAUGUAGAAUUUUUUCUAAUAAAUUUUAUAACUGGAAUCUAUUUUUUAGAAAAAAUACUAGCAAAAAAA
rnacentral:sRNA from 1 species